rnacentral:rRNA from 1 species
AACGAACGCUGGCGGUAUGCCUAACACAUGCAAGUCGAACGAGACCUUCGUGUCUGGUUGCUCACAGGUGCGUAACGCGGGGGAACCUGCCCUUAGAUUCGGAAUAACUCCCCGUAGUGGGGGCUAAUACCGGGUAAUUUCUUCUGACCAAAGAUUUAUCGACUUUGUAUGGGCCCGCGUUGUAUUAACUUGUUGGGAGUGUAAAAGCCUAUCAAGGCGACGAUACAUAGCUGGUAUGAGAGGAUGAUCAGCCACACUGGGACUGAGCCACGGCCCAGAAUACUACGCGAGGCAGGCGUGGGGAAUCCUGCACAAUGGGCGAAAGCAUGAUCCAGUUCUGCCGCGUGAGUGAUUAAGGCCUUAGAGAAGUACAGCUCUUUUAUCCGCCAUGAUAAUGACAGUACCGGGAGAAUAAGCACCGGCUAACUCCGUG